rnacentral:rRNA from 1 species
CGGCAAGAGCUCAAAUUUGAAAGCUGGCUCCUUCGGGGUCCGCAUUGUAAUUUGCAGAGGAUGCUUCGGGAGCGGUCCCCGUCUAAGUACCCUGGAACGGGUCGUCAUAGAGGGUGAGAAUCCCGUAUGGGACGGGGUGUCCGCGCCCGUGUGAAGCUCCUUCGAC